CCUACGGGGGGCAGCAGUGGGGAAUAUUGGGCAAUGGGCGCAAGCCUGACCCAGCAACGCCGCGUGAAGGAAGAAGGCUUUCGGGGUGUAAACUUCUUUUCUCAUGGACGAAGCAAGUGACGGUACCUGAGGAAUAAGCCACGGCUAAAUACGUGCCAGCAGCCGCGGUAAUACGUAGGUGGCAAGCGUUAUCCGGAUUUACUGGGUGUAAAGGGCGUGUAGGCGGGGACGCAAGUCAGAUGUGAAAACCACGGGCUCAACCGGUAGCCUGCAUUUGAAACUGUGUUUCUUGAGUACUGUCGAGGCAGACGGAAUCCCUAGUGUAGCGGUGAAAUGCGUAGAUAUUAGGAGGAACACCAGUGGCGAAGGCGGUCUGCUGGACAGAAACUGACGCUGAGGCGCGAAAGCGUGGGGAGCAAACAGGAUUAGAUACCCCAGUAGUC
rnacentral:rRNA from 1 species